AACGCGAAGAACCUUACCUACUCUUGACAUCCACGGAAUUUAGCAGAGAUGCUUUAGUGCCUUCGGGAACCGUGAGACAGGUGCUGCAUGGCUGUCGUCAGCUCGUGUUGUGAAAUGUUGGGUUAAGUCCCGCAACGAGCGCAACCCUUAUCCUUUGUUGCCAGCGAUUCGGUCGGGAACUCAAAGGAGACUGCCAGUGAUAAACU
rnacentral:rRNA from 1 species